ACCCAAUAAUUUUUGUAUUCAAAGCUUUUGUAGAUGAUCUUUCCAAUCUUAAAUGAAAUUCAACAUUUCCAUAACACAUACAAAACAAAAAAAGAAAGAAUCAUCAUAAGAAAUAAGAUAUGACAUGAAACCUUCCACUUGAUAUCAUGAUUCACUUCUCAACAUUAUCUUAAAUUUCAAAUCAAAGCAUUUAAGGAGAGGGUAUUAUUAUUAAGCCAACCUCAUAAACUAUAGAAAAAGACAUAGAUAUAACACACCUUCUUCAAUUUGAGAAUGGAACAAAGUGUGGAACAGGUUUACACUUAAGUGGCUUAGCCAAAAACACAGUAACCCUUCCUUCUUCUGACAUAUCAAUCUCAUUAUUCUUUCCAUCAUUCACAACCCAAUCAAAGCAUUGAACCAAACUAGCCAAUGUUGCUUGUAUAACAAGCAAUGCAAGUGAUGCACCAGGACAACUUCUUCUACCACUUCCAAAUGGUAAUAGUUGAUAAUAUUGUCCUCUUACAUCAAUUUUACUCUUACCACUUUCAUCAUUAGCUAAGAACCUUUCAGGGUUAUAUUCUAGGGCAUUGUCCCAAUAGUCUCACUAGUGCAUCUAAGAAGUCCUUGCUUCACAAGAAAACCACUUAUUCUUUUAUUCCAAGCCCUGGGUGCUUGUUUCACCCAUAGAGUGUUUUGUGGAGCUUAUAGACUCUUUGUUCUUGGUCAGAGACCACAAAACCAGGGGGUUGUGUGACAAACACCUCCUUGUCCAAUGAACCAAUGAAGAAGGGUGACUUUACAUCCAUUUGGCAUAUUGUCCAAUUCUUUGAGCUUGCAAUUGUUGUAACAAACCUUACAGUUUUUAUUCUUGUCACUGGUGCAAACACUUCAUCAUAGUCUAAUAUUGGAUUUUGUAGGAACCCCUUUGCAACCAAUCUAGCUUUGUGUUUAACAACUGUACCGUAUGGUUUCAGCUUCACCUUGUAUACCCACUUCACUAAUAUGGCUUUCUUUCAUUGGGUAAAGUUGUGAGUUCCCAUGUAUCAUUUCUCUCAAUUGAUUUGAUUUUCUCAUUCAUUGCUUCAAUCCAACAGGCUUCUUUGAUGGCUUGUUCAUAGGUGAUUGGCUCCAUUUCUGCUAAUAGGGCCAUAUGCACAAAGUCACCUUCAGAUGUUAUUGAUGUGUCAGUGAGGUCAUUGCUUUAAUCUUGUUGGCAUGUUUCUUUGUCUUUGAGGUCUUUCAAUCACAUAUGCAUUUCCUUCACUGACUCUAAAAUUCUAAAGUUUAGGUGACCAAAUCUUCUACCUGCUCAUGGACUCCAAACUUCUAAAGUUUAGGUGACCAAAACUUUGGUGCCAAAUCCAAGUAUCAACAACUAUGGACUCUAGAGAUUUGGUGUCACCAAUAUGUAUGUCAAUCUUAAAAGUCCUAUUGUGUGAGAGUGGGGCUUUUAAGAUCGGAAUCUUUUUCUUGUUGUAUAUUUUCAUCAUUCUGUCUUCUAGCCUCAUGUAAUAGCCCUUUUCUAACAACUGUCCAAGGCUAAUGAGGUUGUUCUUCAUUUUUGGCACAUAUAGCACAUUGGAGAUGUAGGAAACCUUACCAUCUUUUCUUCUUAUCAUGAUUUUGCCAAUUCCUUCUGUAGUGAUAAAACUGUCAUCUGCAAAUUUCACCUUGGUCUUUACUAAGCUAUCUAGAGCCAAGAACCACUCCUUAUGUCUAGUCAUAUGAUUAGAGAAACCAAUGUCCAAAUACCAAUUGUCAGAUGAAGGUUGUUGGUCAUUUUUUGUAAUGACCGUCAAUGCUACAUCUGUGUCACUCAAUUCCAAGUUAGAAAUUUCAUAUGUUUCAAUCCCUUCUGAAUCAGAGAGUUCCUUUUCUGCCAUCAGUAGGACUUCUUCAUUCGAGUCUUAUCCUUGGCUAAUUUGGCUUCUACAGCUUUACUUCUUCUUUGUAAUUUGCAUUCUGAUGCAUAGUGAUCACAAUCUCUACAAUUGAAGCACUGAAGUAUGCUCUUAUCUUUCUUCUUCUUUCCAUGUGUGCUAUUGUUACAGCUGCUACAUCUUUUGAUCUGUUUUUUUCCGAGUCAUUACUUUGGUUUGCUGAGCUGACUUUGUUGGACCUUUUCCAUACAAACUUGUGUUUUCUGUUAUCCUUUGAGGUAAUGUUUCUGGUCAGUGUUUUAAGUUGCGAUUAUAAUCAUGAUUGUGGUCACAUUGUGAUUAUUGCGAUUAUAAUUAUUGUGGUCAUUGUAAUACAAAUUGCGGCCGUUGAAAUGUGAAUUAUUUUGUCAUUAAAAAAAAUAUUUUGGAAAUCAAUAUGGUUACAUGGCGGCCCGAUGCGGUUGCUUGCGACAUGAUAUGACCAACAUAUGGUCCAAUGUGGUUGCAUUGCGGCUUGAUAUGGUCACAUCAUUGUGAUUCGAUGUCAUACUGCAAUUGCAGUGUGAUACAAUUACAACAGUCACCACAACCGUAAUAUUGCAACCGCAUCACGUGAUGUGAUCCGCAAUUUGAAUAAUGAUUCUCGUUGUUUUUAUUGUUAACAAAUUUUCUUGUUUUUUUAUUCUUUUUAUGGCCUAGUUAUUUACUGAUGACCAACAUUGCAUAACUAUCGUUUAUACUGCACCAACAAUUAGACAUAAAUAACUCAUUUGUAUUAGGAUGCAAGCAACUAACUAGAUUGGGUGGAAUCCUAUCCCAAAGAAAAGAAAGUUCCUACUCCAAAUUCCUGAAAAUGACUUCCACAUUUAUUCUACUUUCAUGCUUCAGAAAUCCAUCCAUGGAAAGUGCCUUCUUCUACCCUUUGAUUCCAUUCCUUUCAUUUCGUAACCGCAAAUUCUCAGCCGCGACUAAAAUCAUAGCAUCAAAGUAUUUUUCCCAUUUUGAUUUCUUGUUUUCUUAGGAUUAUAUCAUUUAUCUCAAACUUUAUACCCCUAAAUAUUUAUGGUUGAUUAUAAAAUUAUUAGAUUUUUAGUUAUGUUUCUUUUGUUUUCACCAAUAAUACCUGUUUUGCAUAUAAACUAACAUAAAAUUUAAAAAUAUGAUGUCUUUUUCAUUCUUUAAUUUCUCACAUACCGCUUGGUGCAAUUAGUGUUUUUGCAUUUAAGGGCAUUCUCAACAAUUAUCCCUUACAUAAAUUUGAACUUUUGGUUUACUUGAGAUUUAACAUAGUUUUACAUUAAUAGUACAAUUAGUUUUAUGUAUUAAUAUUCAUUUUUAGGAAAAAAGUAAAUAAAUGAGAAGUGAAUAUAUAAGUUAAUAAGUCCUCUUAUUGACGUCUCAUUUUCUUGUACCCUUUUAUAUUUAAUUCACUAAUAAAAAUCUCAUCAUAUGAAAAACGUACAGAAUAAUAUCCGAACCUACACUGAAAAUGGAUCAAAUAAUGUGACUGAUUGGACUAAUAAAUAUAACAUUGUUUUUUAUAUUUAUAAAGAUGAUACAUUAUUUUAAAAUAAUUUAUAUUUGGAAGUAUGAAGUAUCCUAACAAUAUUGUUUAAGGGAUAAUUAAAAUUAGAAAAUUAAAUCUAUUAUUUAUGGACAUAUAAAAAUAUAAACUUUUAAGAUAAGAUAAGAUUUCUGUUUUCUAUCCCUUAAACAACGUCAUUAGGAAAUUGGUUAACAUUUUCAGUGUAGGUUUAGUGGCUAGGAAUGGACAAAUAUAAUAAGGUAAGAAAGUUUAUAGUAUAUAUAUAACGUAGAUAAUGACAUAAUAUUAUAUAAAUUCUAUCAAAAUGUUAAAUUCUCUGGUUGGAGAGAUGAUUUUAUAUAUAGUUAAUAAUUAUUUAUAAAUAUAAUAUUAUAUAAAAAUACAAAAUUUUAUAUAAUUAGUAAUUAUAUAUAAUCAUAUUAAAAUAAUAUUCUCUAUUUUUUUUAGACCAAAACAAACAAUACAUCAUUGUAGUGUUUCAUUUUUUUAAUUUUAAGUGAAUUGUCUAUCCAUUUCUGGGUUAUUAUAGUUUAACUGGAUUUAAUAUAAUGGACCGAAAUUUUCUGAGUUUAAAGUGGUUCAAACUAUAACUGUUUUCAAUUCCGGUUACUGAAAUUAUCCGUUCUCUUUCUAACAACAUUACCUAGUAUAUUACAUUUAUUAUUUUAAUUUAGCAUCUAAAAUAAUUUUGUGUAAUCCACAUUUUGAUGCAUUUUUUCUUCCUCUGAAUCUGCAUAAACCGCAAUUCUUCACUUAAAAGCUAAAUAAAUUUUCCUAAAUAUUAUGAUACAAUGUCCAAACAAAUUAAACAUAUCCAUUAUCAUGUGACAUAGCUAAUUUUGUGUUUUGUCCUUUGAGAAACUCGUUGAGACCCAAGUAAGUGAUAAUGUGGGAAUCGUGAAUACAUAUGAACAAUCACUAACUGGUUUACAUAUCUUGUAUAUAGCGUGAAUCUAAAGCAAUACCACGUGUUUUUGUUUGUUUUGUUAUGAGUUAUGACCCUAUGUUCUAUAUAUACUAAUGACAUGAAGAAUCUUAUGUAAUAAUAACAUAUACAAAACAAACACAACCUUAUAAGGAUUGUUUUUUGUGUUAAGGUGAAAUAUAAACAUGUCAGAAACUGGAGGUGGUGCAAGCCAGGAAGAGAAAAAGCCUGUUGAUCAAGGAGGACACAUAAAUCUCAAAGUCAAGGGCCAGGUUUAAUUCUCUUCUCACUUUAAACUAUACAUAUUUUUUUUAUUAGUAUACUUCGGCGCAAAAGUAAGGUUGCUUGAGAUCGCGGGUACAAAUCUUCUCUAUUAAACUAUACAUAUUUCUUUGAUCAGUGUAAUUUGACGUAACAGUAAAGUUGUUGCUUAGUAACCAUACUGUCAUGGGUACAAAUCUUCUUCGUUAAACUAUACAUAUUUCUUUGAUUAGUGUAGUUUGGAGUAUUGCUUGGUAACAAUGACGUCAUAGUUAAACUACACAUAUUUCUUUGAUUAGUGUAGCUUGGCACAAGAGUAUGUUUGUUGCUUAGUAACCAUGAUGUCACGGGUAUAAAUCUUCUCAAUUAAACUAUACAUCUUUGAUUAGUAUAGUUUGACGUAACGGUAAGGUUGUUGCUUAGUAAUAAUGACGUCACAGACUCACAGGUACAAAUCUCGGAAACAGUAUAUUUGCUUGUAGAGGUAAGAUUGCGUACAUCUACCCUCCUCAGACCACACUAAGUAGGAGCCUCGUGCAUCAGGCCGGCCUUUUUAGUACUUUACUGUUCAAUUUUCUUUUUGUCAAUGAGAUGCUUUAUCUUUUGCCAUGAAGAACCUUUGGAUUAAUGUGCAGUGUGAAUUUCUUGGUAUAUGAGUUCAAAUGCUUUUUUGUAAUCUAAAUGUUUGAAGUGAAACUGAGAUCUUGUAACAAAAUAUCUAUAUAUGAAAAUCUAUAUAGUAAAUUUAAUUGAUAUGCACAAUAUUAUGCUAUAACUAACUUACUCUGCCUUUGGUUCUGUUCCAUGUUUCUGGCAUAUUGAAAAACUAGCACAUCUUUUUAGCAUGAACUCCUUAUAAAAUUUCUUAACCUGAUUCCACAUGGCUUUAUUAUAUUGUAGGAUGGAAAUGAGAUUUUCUUCAGGAUAAAAAGAAGUACUCAGCUCAGGAAACUCAUGAAUGCUUACUGCGAUCGCCAAUCUGUCGAUUUUAACUCGAUCGCUUUCUUGUUUGAUGGAAGGAGACUCCGGGCUGAGCAGACCCCUGAUGAGGUAAAUUAUGUUUCUCUUAAAAACAUAAUUUACAAUAGAACAUUACGUCGUCGUUCAAUUCGGUAUUAAGGCUUGGUUGAACACAACAUUAAUUCAAUUGCCACAUUAUUUUUUCAGUACUUAAUGUAUAGUUUGGUGGAAUUUCUCACCAUUUUUUAUAGAUAAAACUCUUAAACCAAAGUUUUAAAAAUGACCUUUAGAUAUAACGAUAUCUCAUUUUUACUCGUAAAUACAAAUACAAAAUACUAACUUGUUUCUCCAGUAUUACAGAUGAUUCUUUUCAUUUUUUUUCUCGAUUAUCCAGUUGUACAUCUUUCACUUGUUCGGAUUUGCAUCUUAAUUGUUGUGUAUGUUGAUUCUAAGAAUUUGCAAUUUUUUGCAGCUAGAGAUGGAGGAUGGUGAUGAGAUUGAUGCAAUGCUGCACCAAACUGGAGGUGGAAACCAUUUUCUUUAGAUAUAAUAUUGAUUUUUAUCAAAAUGCUUGAAAAAGCUAAUGAUGAAUGAUCUAUACAUGUUCUUGUUUUAUGUUUUUAUUUUUCUGCCAUAUAAAAUUGUGGUAUGGGAUUGAGUUUCAUGUUUAUGUAAUCUUUGUUGCUUUUAAGGUACUUUUGUUGUGUUGGAAAGUUACAAUAUAUAAUGUUUUUGGUAUUCACUCUAGCUUGAUGAAUGUGUUGGAUGUCUGAAAUUAAGAUGAAAAAUGUUACACCAUGUUUUUGGGCAGUACUUGAAGGUAAACCCACCCUACCCAUGUUUAGAAGGGAUAAAGCAUGAUAUUUCAUACUAAUCUUAUAAAUGAAUCGGCUUAUGUAUGUCGUAACUUAGAUGGUUAUUGUGUGAGCAUGACCCGAAUUUUCAAUAUUAAUUAUCAAUUAUCAAAUUUAUAAUACAUUCACUUCUAACAUAUGAAAGCCAGUAUUGGAGUCUCCGAUACUCAAAUAUGAUGAAGCAGAGUAAUUUUGUAAUUUUUAAAUCUAAUUUUUUCAAAAAAUGAUUUAAAAUAGAAUCAUUCAUGAUUUGUUUAUGUUACAUGUUACCAUUUCCAUCCAAUAUUGUAUCCUGUAGAAUAAGGAUGAACUUAAUUUUUGAAAUUGAACAUCAAACUUUAAACUAAAAAAUUUCAAUAUAAUAAUCUCAGUUUUUGAAAUGAUAGUAAUGGCCAUAACAAUGACAAUAGAAGUUGUUGGGCUUCAAAAUAUUAAUGGCUUUAGAACUGUGAUUAUUUAAAUAAAAAAAUCAACCUGUUCAAUAAGUAUUUUGAAUUAAAUAAUAUGCCUAAGCCAUAAACUGAUAAAAGUAGACAUCAUUCAAACCGAAUAUAAAUAUAAAUGGAUUGAUCUGAUUUGAGUCCAGGACCACACAAAUUAAUAUACCAAUAUAUGUCCUUGGUCGUUACACAAAUUAAUAUAAGAAUAUAUGUCCUUCGUUGUUUACUAAUUUCCAUACUUAUUUAUUAGUUGCAAGAUUUUUGUGGGUUAAUUUCAUAUCUGAAAAAUUGAAAAACUCAAAAUAAUUCUAAAAAUAUUAAGUGUUGGUCAAAUUAAUUAUUUUUAAUAUUUUUUAUGACUUUCGAUGAAGACUAUUUUAACUCACAUUUAUGAUUUUUUAGUAUUAAUUUAGAUUUUUUAUUUUUCAUGGAUGAAAUUAGUGCAUAUGAAAAAUUAUAAGGAAUCAAAAUAGAUAUUCACCCAAUAAUUUUUGUAUUCAAAGCUUUUGUAGAUGAUCUUUCCAAUCUUAAAUGAAAUUCAACAUUUCCAUAACACAUACAAAACAAAAAAAGAAAGAAUCAUCAUAAGAAAUAAGAUAUGACAUGAAACCUUCCACUUGAUAUCAUGAUUCACUUCUCAACAUUAUCUUAAAUUUCAAAUCAAAGCAUUUAAGGAGAGGGUAUUAUUAUUAAGCCAACCUCAUAAACUAUAGAAAAAGACAUAGAUAUAACACACCUUCUUCAAUUUGAGAAUGGAACAAAGUGUGGAACAGGUUUACACUUAAGUGGCUUAGCCAAAAACACAGUAACCCUUCCUUCUUCUGACAUAUCAAUCUCAUUAUUCUUUCCAUCAUUCACAACCCAAUCAAAGCA
rnacentral:lncRNA from 1 species